UAAUACGAAGGUGGCAAGCGUUGUUCGGAUUUACUGGGCGUACAGGGAGCGUAGGCGGUUGGGUAAGCCCUCCGUGAAAUCUCCGGGCCUAACCCGGAAAGGGCGGAGGGGACUGCUCGGCUAGAGGAUGGGAGAGGAGCGCGGAAUUCCCGGUGUAGCGGUGAAAUGCGUAGAGAUCGGGAGGAAGGCCGGUGGCGAAGGCGGCGCUCUGGAACAUUUCUGACGCUGAGGCUCGAAAGCGUGGGGAGCAAACAGGAUUAGAUACCCUGGUAGUCCACGCCUUAAACUAUGGAUACUAAGUGUCGGCGGGUUACCGCCGGUGCCGCAGCUAACGCAGUAAGUAUCCCGCCUGGGAAGUACGGCCGCAAGGUUG
rnacentral:rRNA from 1 species